UACAGGGGGGGCAAGCGUUGUUCGGAAUUACUGGGCGUAAAGGGCUCGUAGGUGGCCAACUAAGUCAGACGUGAAAUCCCUCAGCUUAACUGGGGAACUGCGUCUGAUACUGGAUGGCUUGAGUUUGGGAGAGGGAUGCGGAAUUCCAGGUGUAGCGGUGAAAUGCGUAGAUAUCUGGAGGAACACCGGUGGCGAAGGCGGCAUCCUGGACCAAUACUGACACUGAGGAGCGAAAGCGUGGGGAGCGAACAGG
rnacentral:rRNA from 1 species